AGAUUGAACGCUGGCGGCAUGCCUAACACAUGCAAGUCGAACGGUAACGCGGGGGCAACCCUGGCGACGAGUGGCGGACGGGUGAGUAAUACGUAGGAAUCUGCCCAUUUGUGGGGGAUAACCCGGCGAAAGCCGGGCUAAUACCGCAUACGCUCUACGGAGGAAGCGGGGGAUCGUAAGACCUCGCGCUAAUGGAUGAGCCUACGUCGGAUUAGCUAGUUGGUAGGUAACGCCUACAAGGCACGAUCCGUAGCUGGUCUGAGAGGACGAUCAGCCACACUGGGACUGAGACACGGCCAGACUCCGACGGGACGCAGCGAGGUAGGGAAUUAGUGGAACUAAGGUCGGGGACCAACCCGUGACUCCGAGCAAGUCGCCGUCGUGUGUAGGAAGAACGGCCUGGUCGGUUAGAAGCUACUUACGAGGUAAGGGAAAAGAAAAAGUCGGAAGACUAACC
rnacentral:rRNA from 1 species